UCAGUAAUUUUCCAUUGACAUUUUCCCCUUCGAGUGACGUAUGAACUACGUACGUGUUGUCAAGUGUCAUGUCAAGUUUCACAAUGGUGAAGUUUUGAAUUUUAAGCUUUUUAGAGUCAAAUUUUAAGAUGUUGGAUGAUCAUAGAAAGUAAAACUCCUGGUAAGGCGCCCUAACAAAAUAUAGCCAGGAUUUAUAUUUAACACCCCAGGAUAUCUGUAAGUACCCUUGUUUAAAUUUUUGAUAGUAGUAAAUAUUCCCUAAUCCCUAACUUCUUCUUAACGAACUCACAACCUUAGCUCUCCAACCAAAA
rnacentral:lncRNA from 1 species